AUGUCGUCGUGCGAGUGCCUCGUGGUCGAGAAGGUGUCGGAGGACCACGCCGGCGGCGGCGGCGAGGCGGCGGGGGAGCGGCGGGGCGGCGGCCGGGCCCCGCGCUCCGAGGCCAUGUUCCCCAUCUACGUCAUGGGGAGCUCGCGGGCGCGGGCCGUGCUCCUCGACCCCUCCGCCGCCGGGGACCCCAUAUGGGAGGCCGUCAAGGCCGAGGCCAGGUCCGAGGCAGAGAAGGAGCCUAUUUUAAGUAGCUUCUUAUAUGCGAGCGUAUUAUCUCACGACUGUCUGGAGCGGGCGUUGAGCUUUGUCCUUGCAAACAGGCUUGAAGAUCCAACCUUGCUUGCGACUCAGCUAAUCGACAUUUUCAAUGAUGUCAUGAUGAAUGACGUAGAUAUACGCCGUUCCAUUCGCCUUGAUGCUCAGGCCUUCAAAGGAAGAGAUCCUUCCUGUGCACAAUAUAGCUGGGCCCUAUUAUACCUAAAGGGUUACCAUUCCUUGCAGUCCUACAGGAUAGCUCAUGUAUUAUGGAAUCAAGGGCGUAAGGUUCUGGCGUUGGCGCUGCAAAGCCGUAUCAGUGAGGUUUUUGCAGUGGAUAUACACCCAGCUGCCAAAAUUGGAGAAGGAAUAUUGUUGGAUCAUGGAACAGGUCUAGUCAUUGGUGAAACUGCUGUUGUUGGCAACUGGGUUUCAUUAAUGCAGGGUGUUACGCUUGGAGGUACUGGAAAGGAACACGGAGAUAGACACCCCAAGAUCGGUCAGGGUGCUCUUCUUGGAGCUGGUGCUACUAUCCUUGGCAACAUAACUGUUGGCGAAGGUGCCAUGAUUGCCGCUGGUUCCCUUGUUUUAAAGCAUGUACCGCCUCACAGUAUGGCGGUAGGAAAUCCUGCGAAGGUAGUUGGCUAUACAGAGAAAGAAGAUCCUUCGUUAACUAUGAAGCAUGAUGCAAGGAGAGAUUAUUUCGAGCAUGUUGCCAGCAGUUUUCCUGAUGGUAGAUCCAACGGAAGUGUCGUGAAGUAA
rnacentral:rRNA from 1 species